AACAUCGCGCACCUGCGGGAACCUGCGGAAGGAUCAUUACAGAGUUGCAAAACUCCCUAAACCAUCGUGAACGUUACCUAAACCGUUGCUUCGGCGGGCGGCCCGGGUCCUUCCCGGCGCCCAUCGGCCCUCGCGGGCGCCCGCCGGAGGUAAACCAAACUAUUGCAUUGUAUGGCCUCUCUGAGUCUUCUGUACUGAAUAAGUCAAAACUUUCAACAACGGAUCUCAGAUCGGAAGAGC
rnacentral:misc_RNA from 1 species